GACGAACGCUGGCGGCGCACUUAAUGCAUGCAAGUCGAGCGGGGUCCAUCCCGUGGCAACACGGGUGAAGACCUAGCGGCGAACGGGUGCGUAACACGUGAGCAACCUGCCCCGAAGUCUGGGAUAACACCGGGAAACCGGUGCUAAUACCGGAUGCCCCCACCGGACCGCAUGAUCUGGUGAGGAAAGAUUUAUCGCUUCGGGAGGGACUCGCGGGCUAUCAGCUUGUUGGUGGGGUAACGGCCUACCAAGGCAUCGACGGCUAGCUGGUCUGAGAGGACGACCAGCCACACUGGGACUGAGACACGGCCCAGACUCCUACGGGAGGCAGCAGCAGGGAAUAUUGCGCAAUGGGCGAAAGCCUGACGCAGUAACGCCGCGUGGGGGAUGAAGGCCCUCGGGUUGUAAACCCCUUUCAGCAGGGACGAAAUUGACGGUACCUGCAGAAGAAGCACCGGCCAACUACGUGCCAGCCGCCGCCGUAAGAC
rnacentral:rRNA from 1 species